GGCUAACGCUGGCAGCGUGUCUUAGCCAUGCAAGUCGUGGGCGAAACCCUGCUUUGGCGGGGGAGUAGACCGGCGGACGGCGGAGUAACACGUGGCUAACCUGCCCUCCGGUGGGGAUAACCCGGAGAAAUCCGGGCUAAUACCGCAUACAGCCUCCUUGGGGCAUCCUGAGGAGGUGAAAGCCGGCCUCUGCUAUGCAAGCUGGCGCCGGAGGAGGGGGCCGCGGCCUAUCAGCUAGUUGGUGGGGUAAUGGCCCACCAAGGCUACGACGGGUAGCCGGUCUGAGAGGACGGCCGGCCCGAGGGGCACUGAGACACGGGCCCCACUCCUACGGGAGGCAGCAGGCUAGAAAUUUGGGCAAUGGGGGAAACCCUGACCCAGCGACGCUGCGUGCGGGAAGAAGGCCUUCGGGUCGUAAACCGCUGUCAGGGAGGACGAUGGGGCUGGCUGCGAACAGCAGUCGGCCUUGACGGUACUCCCAGAGGAAGCCCAGGCUAACCUCGUGCCAGCAGCCGCGGUAAUACGGGGUGGGCGAGCGUUGCCCGGAAUCACUGGGCUUAAAGGGGGCGUAGGCGGCCCGGUAAGUCAGGCGUGUAAUCUGACGGCUCAACCGUCAGACUGCGCUUGAAACUGCCGGGCUAGAGGGCGUCAGAGGAGAGCGGAACUCCCGGUGUAGCGGUGAAAUGCGUAGAUAUCGGGGGGAACGCCGGUGGCGAAGGCGGCUCUCUGGGGCGUCCCUGACGCUCAGGCCCGAAAGCCAGGGGAGCGAAGGGGAUUAGAUACCCCCGUAGUCCUGGCCGUAAACGAUGGGUGCUAGGUGUUGGGUCCUUCGGGACUCAGUGCCGCAGGGAAACCGUUAAGCACCCCGCCUGGGGAGUACGCCCGCAAGGGUGAAACUCAAAGGAAUUGACGGGGGCCCGCACAAGCGGUGGAGCGCGUGGUUCAAUUCGACGCUAAGCGAAGAACCUUACCUGGGCUUGACAUGCCGGUGGUACCGACCCGAAAGGGGAGGGACCCGCCUUCAGGCGGGAGCCGGCACAGGUGCUGCACGGUCGUCGUCAGCUCGUGCCGUGAGGUGUUGGGUUAAGUCCCGCAACGAGCGCAACCCCUGCCCUUAGUUGCCAUCGGCGCUCAUGGAGCGGCCGGGCACUCUAAGGGGACUGCCGGCGAUGAGCCGGAGGAAGGUGAGGACGACGUCAGAUCCGUGUGGCCUUUAUGCCCAGGGCUACACACGCGCUACAAUGGGCGGUACAGAGGGUUGCAACCCCGCGAGGGGGAGCCAAUCCCUAAAACCGCUCCCAGUUCGGAUCGCAGGCUGCAACUCGCCUGCGUGAAGGCGGAAUCGCUAGUAAUCACCUAUCAGCAUGGGGUGGUGAAUACGUUCCCGGGCCUUGUACACACCGCCCGUCACGCCAUGGGAGCCGGGAACGCGAGAAGUCGCUCGCCCAA
rnacentral:rRNA from 1 species